rnacentral:rRNA from 1 species
GAUGAACGCUGGCGGCGUGCCUAAUACAUGCAAGUCGAGCGAACGGACGAGAAGCUUGCUUCUCUGAUGUUAGCGGCGGACGGGUGAGUAACACGUGGAUAACCUACCUAUAAGACUGGGAUAACUUCGGGAAACCGGAGCUAAUACCGGAUAAUAUUUUGAACCGCAUGGUUCAAAAGUGAAAGACGGUCUUGCUGUCACUUAUAGAUGGAUCCGCGCUGCAUUAGCUAGUUGGUGAGGUAACGGCUUACCAAGGCAACGAUGCAUAGCCGACCUGAGAGGGUGAUCGGCCACACUGGAACUGAGACACGGUCCAGACUCCUACGGGAGGCAGCAGUAGGGAAUCUUCCGCAAUGGGCGAAAGCCUGACGGAGCAACGCCGCGUGAGUGAUGAAGGUCUUCGGAUCGUAAAACUCCGUUAUUAGGGAAGAACAUAUGUGUAAGUAACUGUGCACAUCUUGACGGUACCUAAUCAGAAAGCCACGGCUAACUACGUG